GGCCUGAUGGUCUAGUGGUAUGAUUCCUGCUUUGGGUGCAGGAGGCCCCGGGUGUAAGUUGCAACACCCAUCAAGUUUCGACGUAAACAUCUUUCUAACAGUUGCGUAGUCGAAUCCCGGUCAGGCCC
rnacentral:tRNA from 1 species